UCCUCCGAGAGGAAUGUGUGCAAAAGGGU
rnacentral:piRNA from 1 species